CAACCUACCCUAUACAGGAGGAUAGCCUAGGGAAACCUGGAUUAACCCUUCAUAGUAUUAUUGGAUGGCAUCAUUUGAUAAUUAAACUGAGGUGGUAUAGGAUGGGCAUGCGUCUGAUUAGUUAGUUGGCGGGGUAAUGGCCCACCAAGACGAUGGUCAGUAGGGGUUCUGAGAGGAAGAUCCCCCACACUGGCACUGAGAUACGGGCCAGACUCCUACGGGAGGCAGCAGUAGGGAAUAUUGGUCAAUGGAUGCAAGUCUGAACCAGCCAUGCCGCGUGCAGGAAGAAGGCCUUCUGGGUUGUAAACUGUCUUUUGCCAGGGGAUAAAAUUUCCAUGCGUGGAAAACUGAAGGUACCUGGUGAAUAAGCCACGGCUAACUACGUG
rnacentral:rRNA from 1 species